ensembl:lncRNA
GUCUGAUUAAUAUCCUGUUAGCGAGCUGGCAAAUCUCCAAAUUCACUUCUUAAAUGACAAUGAGACUAUUCCAUGAGCUUGAAUGGACCUUGUUAGCAUAACACUAAUAAUUCAUCGCUUAGAAUCCAAAGAGAUUAUAAGUAAAUCUAGACAUGUGCAGCUUAUCACAGUUCCUUUUUGCUUUCCUUCUGGGUAGGCACAGAACUACAACACAUCAUGUAUUUCACCACUACCGUCAGGUCAGAAAAGCCUCACUUUUAUGAGAAAUGCAUAACGAGGCAAAAAGCCCAGAAGAUCAAAAAAACUCAUCUCUCCUGGCAGCAUCUAGAAAUUUGUCCCCACUGCUUCUUGAUAAGAUGUUUACGGCCAAGUUCACUUCAGAAACCAGUACUAUGAGGCUGGAGUUAGCUGUCCUAAAGAUUCACAUUUUGAGGAUCAAAAUGAACGAGUUUUAUGGGAAGAGAUGACAAUGGCAAGAGGGCACACUGUCAAGCAAGCACCACAUCCUGCCAUAGGCACAUUCAGGAUGAAAUGCUCACCACCAUCAGAUGGCUUGUCCAGAGGCUGCUGGGGAAGAGGGUCCUGCAUGCACAUCCCCCACAGCACUGACAUCCACAGCACGGCAAGGAAUCCCAAAGUCUCCUUAUAACUGAUGGCAGUCUAACUAAUAUAGAUACAGGAGCCUAUGCUGCUGUUCAUCCCAGACAAAAAUAAAGGCUUAAAAGCAGGCCUUUCUCUUCACGGACUUGGACUUCUUGCUCACUUG